GGCCUGGCCGGGUGGUCUGCUUAACGGCAUGUACUGUCUGGGUGGGCCUUACCUCUUGGUGAGCCGGCGUGCCCUUCAUUGGCGUGCGUCGGGGAACCAGGACUUUUACCUUGAAAAAAUUAGAGUGUUCAAAGCAGGCAUUUUUAGCUUGAAUACAUUAGCAUGGAAUAAUAAAAUAGG
rnacentral:rRNA from 1 species